rnacentral:lncRNA from 1 species
UGCAGGUGCAGGGAGAAUAUUUGUCAUUGAAGCUCUACAGCAGAAACAGUUCCAUGACAGUGGCAUCACUGAAGGGGACAGCUGUUACUGCUGUGGGAGAUCAAGAGCUCCUUCCAGUUGCAUCUUCUGUGUCAUCUGCAAAACCCCCAGUUACAAUCCCCAGUGUGCUGGCUGCAGAGAGGCCACCUUGUCAACUGGGAUCCCAUCAAGUGCUCUGAGCUCCUGUCCCUCCAUCAGAACUGAAGAGGUGCAGCAUGGCUCACAACUGCCUGCAGUGUAUCAAGUACCUAAUGUUUGUUUUCAACCUUCUCUUCUGGGUGAGUACACUUUUGGAACCGUGAAACGGUUUUUGUGUCUGUUUACUGAGGUGGAAGAUGAACUUGUUGCUG